AUGAAGUACCGACUGGCAUGAUUGUGAUGUUUGCAAAUGAAUGCUCAAAUAAAUUUAUGACAAUUAAAAUUAAAAAUUUCUGUAAUGUUGGCUUGUUUAAGUUGUUUUGAAUUAACCUGCUGACAGAAAUGUCCUCGGGAUAUCCGAAAUGAAAACACGCUAACAGAUUCUUCUCGUCUGCGACGCUAGCGAAAACUGUACAGUUUAAAUGAAUUUGAAAUCUCAAACAGAUAGUGAGAGUAAGACUCCGGAGAUUAAAAUGUUGCCGUUUAUGCCAUCAACAAAAGUGUCUAGCUUGUCCAUCGACGAUGUAGAAAGGGACUUUGUAACUCAUGUAUAUACUGGUUUGGACAAAUCUGAAGCCGAAAGACGUGCAAGAAUAUAUGGGUUGAACGAAUUUGAUGCGGGAGCUGAAGUUCCAAUAUGGCGAAAAUAUUUUGAUCAGCUUUAGGAAUGGUUCAUUGGUAAACUUUCUUGCUAAAGAAUUAGUUUGUGGGGAUAUUGUUGUCAUAGCUACUUGUGAUCGUGUACCAGCUGAUAUACGAUUGGUUGAGGCCGUAGACCUUGAAAUUGAUGAAUGAAGCUUCACUGAGGAAACUGAACCCCAGAGGAAAUAUACGUCAUCAAUACCAGAAGCCUUAGCGAACAGUAGUCUUACGGAGCAAAAAAAAUAUUGCGUUUAUGGGCACGUUGGUUCGCUGUGGAAAUGGAAAGAAAGUGGUAUGGAUAAUUUUUGAGCAAGCGCCUUACAUAAGGAUGUUUCACCAGUACCGGUUGGCUCUGUGAAAGUUUUAAAGAAAAGUUCAACUUAUUCUUCUGGAUAUUUGCAGUAGAUCACGUGAAGACAAACAUGAUGUACUAUGAGUGGUAAAUGCUGGUGUUUGAUUGGCUUCGUUGUUUGUUUUCGAGUGACGUCACAGCGGUACACAAACAUGGUAGCCUUGACGUCAUUUAAUAGUUGGCUCGUUAAAACACCAUCACGUCUCUCGCGUUUCAUUCUAUCUGAUUGUAGCUAACUUAUUCUUAUCAAUACUUUGAUAUGUGAUUUUUCAAUCUUGAA